rnacentral:rRNA from 1 species
UACGGAGGAUCCAAGCGUUAUCCGGAUUUAUUGGGCGUAAAGAGCUCGUAGGCGGUCUGUUGCGUCCGCUGUGAAAACUCGGGGCUUAACCCCGAGCCUGCAGUGGAUACGGGCAGACUAGAGGUAGGUAGGGGAGAAUGGAAUUCCCGGUGUAGCGGUGAAAUGCGCAGAUAUCGGGAGGAACACCAAUGGCGAAGGCAGCUCGCUGGGACGUUACUGACGCUGAGACGCGAAAGCGUGGGGAGCAAACAGG